AAGGUGGGGCGAUCUGCCGCUCAAUAUGAGAGGAAAGUCCGGACAGGAAAGGUCAUCCCGCUGCGGAAACCGCAGGUGGAGGUAACUUUACGCAAGCCGUAACAGAAAAUUACAACCUCUUUCGGAGGCAAUGGUGAAAACGCGAGGCAAGAGCUCACGACACCGGGCAGCGAUGUCCGAUGGGUACGGCACCGGGACCUGCAAAACCAAAUAUACUGGCAAUUUGAGGGCUGCCCGCCCGAUGACAGGGGGUAGGUUGCGAAGAUAAAUGGCAGAACAAAACAGAAACCGGCUUACGGCUCCACCUUUUCC
rnacentral:RNase_P_RNA from 1 species